rnacentral:ncRNA from 1 species
AUCUAAACAGUGAAGAGGAAUAGUAGAAAGAACCAUGUUUUAGAGAGCGUAUGGUUGGUGAAAAUACGCACAGAAGCUUUCGAACUCGCCUUUGAGUUAUUUUACUGAAUGAGUGCAGAAUUGCUCUUUGAGCUUUUUCUGAUACAGAUGGAUGACGAAUAGUAAUUCGAUGAUUCUCUAAACUUUACUAAGUAAGAUCGGUGACGACCGUUAGCGCGUUGAGGCUUGUAAUAAUACAAGUAAAUUUAGGUGGUACCACGUUGUAGAUCACACGUCCUAUAG